AGAGUUUGAUCCUGGCUCAGGAUGAACGCUGGCGGCGUGCCUAAUACAUGCAAGUCGAGCGAACAGACGAGGAGCUUGCUCCUCUGACGUUAGCGGCGGACGGGUGAGUAACACGUGGAUAACCUACCUAUAAGACUGGGAUAACUUCGGGAAACCGGAGCUAAUACCGGAUAAUAUAUUGAACCGCAUGGUUCAAUAGUGAAAGACGGUUUUGCUGUCACUUAUAGAUGGAUCCGCGCCGCAUUAGCUAGUUGGUAAGGUAACGGCUUACCAAGGCAACGAUGCGUAGCCGACCUGAGAGGGUGAUCGGCCACACUGGAACUGAGACACGGUCCAGACUCCUACGGGAGGCAGCAGUAGGGAAUCUUCCGCAAUGGGCGAAAGCCUGACGGAGCAACGCCGCGUGAGUGAUGAAGGUCUUCGGAUCGUAAAACUCUGUUAUUAGGGAAGAACAAAUGUGUAAGUAACUAUGCACGUCUUGACGGUACCUAAUCAGAAAGCCACGGCUAACUACGUGCCAGCAGCCGCGGUAAUACGUAGGUGGCAAGCGUUAUCCGGAAUUAUUGGGCGUAAAGCGCGCGUAGGCGGUUUUUUAAGUCUGAUGUGAAAGCCCACGGCUCAACCGUGGAGGGUCAUUGGAAACUGGAAAACUUGAGUGCAGAAGAGGAAAGUGGAAUUCCAUGUGUAGCGGUGAAAUGCGCAGAGAUAUGGAGGAACACCAGUGGCGAAGGCGACUUUCUGGUCUGUAACUGACGCUGAUGUGCGAAAGCGUGGGGAUCAAACAGGAUUAGAUACCCUGGUAGUCCACGCCGUAAACGAUGA
rnacentral:rRNA from 1 species